UACGAAGGGGGCUAGCGUUGUUCGGAAUUACUGGGCGUAAAGCGCACGUAGGCGGAUACUUAAGUCAGGGGUGAAAUCCCGGGGCUCAACCCCGGAACUGCCUUUGAUACUGGGUAUCUCGAGUCCGGAAGAGGUGAGUGGAAUUCCGAGUGUAGAGGUAAAAUUCGUAGAUAUUCGGAGGAACACCAGUGGCGAAGGCGGCUCACUGGUCCGGUACUGACGCUGAGGUGCGAAAGCGUGGGGAGCAAACAGG
rnacentral:rRNA from 1 species